AUGUAAUUUUUUCUUCACAGUGAAAAAGAUGGCAUCCUCAAUUUUCAUAUUGGGUGCACUUUUAGGAUUAAUGUGUGUUCAAUCUGUCCAAGCACUGACAUGUCUAAACUGUACAAGCAUCUCUGAAGAACAGCCAAGCUGCCCUGAGGAUGAUAUUCAACCGGUGAUGUGUGAAGGACGGUUCACCCAUUGUAUUCGGAUUGUAUUGAACAAGCCAGCCUUCGGUGAAAUUCGAAGAUGUGCUACUACAAAGGAAUGUGAGGCUUCAGUUCCCGACAUUGUUGAACGCUCGUGCUGCAAUGAUAAGGACAAUUGUAAUGUUGCAUCUAGUUGAUACAAAUAGAUGACAGUCUAUGCCAUAUAAAUGCAUUUUAGGAAUAUUGUAUAAUCUAUUAUUGCUUUCAAUUUAUUUAUUUAUUGAUCGAUUGGCAGAUUGGUCAAUUUAUAAUAAAUAAAUAAUCCUCAUAAUCAGUCUUCAAUGAUAUCUCGGCAAAGAAAAUAACUUCUGGUUCUCAUAAUUUACGGAAUUAAAGGAAUUCCUGUGUUGCAAGCA